rnacentral:lncRNA from 1 species
AAGAACGGAAAAAGCCGAGAGAGAAGAAGAGAGCAUGGGAGAGAAGAACCGUGAGAGAGAAGGGGAGAAGAGAGGGCGGCUGCCCUUGAGGAAGAAGAAGAUGGAGAAGAAAAUCACCAUGGAAGAAAGAAGAAAGAAGAAGCAAAUGUAUAACUUUUCUCUCUCUAAUCUCUUUCUAUGGAAUUUUUAUGAAAGGGGUUUUUGAUUUUGGUGUAUAAAACCCUAAGAUAUAUGUGUUUUUCUUUGAUUCUAGUAUGGAUCCACCCAUGAUGGGUGUUGAUUUGGUUGGAAACCAAAAG